ACGAACGCUGGCGGCGUGCUUAACACAUGCAAGUCGCACGGAAAGGCCCUGCUUUUGUGGGGUGCUCGAGUGGCGAACGGGUGAGUAACACGUGAGUAACCUGCCCUUGACUUUGGGAUAACUUCAGGAAGCUGGGGCUAAUACCGGAUAGGAGCUCCUGCUGCAUGGUGGGGGUUGGAAAGUUUCGGCGGUUGGGGAUGGACUCGCGGCUUAUCAGCUUGUUGGUGGGGUAGUGGCUUACCAAGGCUUUGACGGGUAGCCGGCCUGAGAGGGUGACCGGCCACAUUGGGACUGAGAUACGGCCCAGACUCCUACGGGAGGCAGCAGUGGGGAAUAUUGCACAAUGGGCGGAAGCCUGAUGCAGCAACGCCGCGUGCGGGAUGACGGCCUUCGGGUUGUAAACCGCUUUCGCCUGUGACGAAGCGUGAGUGACGGUAAUGGGUAAAGAAGCACCGGCUAACUACGUG
rnacentral:rRNA from 1 species